GUCUAUCCCCCUCCUGCCCAUGUCAUGUGGAAGGCAGCCAAAUGACGGGAUAGUGAUUCAUCACUCGCCUAUAUGACAGCUGCACAGUGGAUUACCCCUCCUCCAGUCAACAUGCAAAGCAGCCUUGCAAAGGUUCAGCUUCCAGCCAAUGUUAAAAGACUGCAAACCACUGCUGAAGGAUUUAAAAACUGACUUCUCUUAGAUGAUCACAGAACAAAGACAAGAGAGAUGAGACAUCCGAAGUGCCAUAAAAGUCAUCCAGGCAAGUCUCACUUAUGUGUUUGUAGUUUUUGUUAUUUUUAAUCACAGACAGAAUUACUCCUUUAGCAGGAGUAGCCCACUCCUAUAAGCAGCCAGACGGCAUAUAAUGUUACACCGAAUGGCAAAAAGCAGGCACUAAUACAGAUAGAAAAGCAGAAUCUUUCUCCCUCUCUAACUGUAUUUAAAAUGUUGCAUAGUGUUCUUUUUAAUAGACCAUAGCAAGCCAAAUCAAACUGGAAUAUCAGAUGUAUGUUUGUAAAACCUAGGCCCUUUUUUUAAGGAAGAGGGAAAAAAGGGCUAAAGUGUAAAAUGGAAACUUUUUACUCUUAACCUCAGACACUGCAGUAGAAUGCUUUUAGAAUAUAUUCUCUCCUGCUACUCUGCUACACCUUGAGUAAAUUAUAGGUGGAAAUAAAGCAUACUUAAGAGCUCUAUUUUAGAGGGCAAUUUAAAAACAAUAACAUUUAAUUAAAUUACUAAUAAUAUGUA